UCAAACACAAUAACACAAAUCUCUCUUCAUACUCCCUUAAAUAGUAAUAAUACUUUAACACCUCCACCGCCUUUGUUUUGCCACCGGAAACGCUAAGUGGUUCUCAUAAAAAACUUCAUCAACUCUACUCUUCGUUUCAUCUUCACUAACUCAACAACCACCCCAACCGAAAUAACCAUACAUCAUGUGUCAUUUCCAUCACCAUUAUCAUCAUCACCUUACAAACACCACAUUUACCUCUUCAACAUCAAACAACAACAACAACACAUUAUCUUUAACACCACCAUCAUCAUCACCUUACAAACAUAACCUUCAUCCUCCAUCAUCAUACAACCUUUAACUCAAACCUCCACUCCACUAAUCUUAAAACAACCAUACAUCAUUCAUAUAACCAUCACUGCAAAAAAAACAUUCAUCAACGUGAAGCCGUCGGUAGCCGCCACAAAGUCACAUCAGAACUCGUCAAUGGACUCAUCCUUGACUUCGACGUCUCUUUGAUAUCAAGUGGCAUUCUUUUUUUUUGUAUCCGUACUUUUGUCUACGUAGUUGGAUUUGAUUCCUUAUGCUUAUUAUUAAGUUGCCUUUACUUUGAUUCAUUAUUGGAGGAUGACAUGAUUUUCUUUUUUUUCCUGCUAAUAUGCUUUUGUGUUUUGAUACUUGUGUGUUGUCUCGAUUGUAUAUAAUUGUUUAGUGUGAAUAACUUAUCUUAAGGUUAAGUGUUCUUUUUUCUAUAUUGUUUAAUUUGGCUUUCUAAUGUGUCAUGAUAACGAUUUAAAGUUUAUAAAACAUAAUAGCAGCAAAAUUCAUAUGGGCACUGUUGUACCGUAAAUGACUCAUCCAUAUCUCUUUUCAUACUAAUGUGUACCGUAAUGACCUUUCCAUGCUAAUAUCUCAUACUGGAAAUUCAUAUGGACUUCGUGUAUACUGUAAAU
rnacentral:lncRNA from 1 species